AUUUUCACCUGAGUCUGGUUAGUGCCUGAUUGUAUUGGUUAUUUAAGCCCUGUUUUGUCUUCGAGUUUAUUGGUUAUUUUGAAUAACCAACCACAAGAAUGCAGCAGGAGGACCUCUCUAAGUAACGUCGUGUUCCGUCCGCGUCAGCUCAGCCACCACCGCACAAUGGUUUACUACCGAAAGGGGACAUAGAUUACAUCGGGGCCCUGCUCUCUACGCUUAGAGAGAUGAAACCUUUGGCUCUACCCUCGCUUAUGGCCACACACAGUGAGUGUAAUGGGGAGGGGUAAAGCGCUUGCAUGGGCUGAAAUAAAACUCCAGCACAGGGCUCAGGAGGCUAUAACGGUGGAUUUUCUCCAGAGAGUUGACAGAGGGUUCUCUCUACACGAUUUGCUCCACCAAAAUAGCCUGCUGUAGCUGCCAGACUCCCUAUCAGUCCCUGUCUCUGGUGUGAAGGAAACCAACCAGCAGUCCCCACCUCCAGCGAGAGAGAUGCCGCCCGUCCUGAUCCUGUUCCAGUCCCCAGCACGAGAGAUGCCGCAAGUCAUGUUCCUGGCAUAGUGGAUGCCACCAGUUCUGUUCCUGUUCUUGGCCUAGUGGUGGCUGCCUGGCCUGUUUUUGCCACCAAAGAGGUCUCUCAGCCUGUUCCUGUUCCAUGUGUCAAGUCUGUACCUGUAGGUGCGCCCUUCACAUAUCCCUGCAGCACCGCUGACUGCCACAGCCACGCCUCCGGACCCCCUGUACCCACCGGGGGUUUGAUGUGGCAUCAAAGUUACCCUGCCCAUCCCAGUACCUGUAUCCAUGCCAAUUGUAUAUUUUGUUCCCGUGUCUGUUGUCCUGAAUAUACUUCUCUGUUCUUGCUUCUGUUCCUAAAACUGUUCCCGCUACCAGCAUGUCUCCUCUCCUGACUCUGUGCCCGCCUCCUGUUCCAGCCACAUUGCCGGUCCGACUCCCCUCCCCUUCCCUGUCCUACUUACAUCCCUCAAUCUGCCCUGAUUCCUGCACCUGUCCAGGGUUUGGCCUUGUAUCACGUAUAUGGUCCCUGUCUGUAGUCCUGCCCCUAGCCCAGCUUCCGCUUCUUUGUUUGCUCUGCGUGUCCCCCCCCGUCGGUCUCCUAUCCUGUCUCCUCAUCCUUUUGGCCCUGUCUCUGCCUUGUACAGCCCUUUUGUUCCUGCUCUUUACUGACCUCCUGCCUCUGUUUCUGGGUCUUGUCCCUGCUCCACAUCUUACCCAUUCUGCUUGUCUGUGUCAUAUCCUGGUUCUGUGUUUUUGUUUUGGGUUUCUUUUGCAUGCUCCAGUGUUGCACGCUUCGGUGGGGGGUUCUGUGAUGAUCGGCCACUCUCCUGGUGUCCCUGUUUUAUGAUUU